AGGUCCCUACGGGGGGCAGCAGUGGGGAAUAUUGCACAAUGGGGGAAACCCUGAUGCAGCGAUGCCGCGUGGAGGAAGAAGGUUUUCGGAUUGUAAACUCCUUUUAUCAGGGACGAUAAUGACGGUACCUGACUAAGAAGCCCCGGCUAACUACGUGCCAGCAGCCGCGGUAAUACGUAGGGGGCAAGCGUUAUCCGGAUUUACUGGGUGUAAAGGGAGCGUAGACGGCAUUGCAAGUCUGAUGUGAAAGAUUGGGGCUCAACCCCAGGCCUGAAUUGGAAACUGUAAAGCUGGAGUACAGGCGA
rnacentral:rRNA from 1 species